AUCCAAAAAAGGGACGGCUAACUACCUGCCAGCAGCAGCGCUGUAAUACGUAGGUCCCAGCCGUUGUCCGGAUUUUAUUGGGCGUAAAGCGAGCGCAGGCGGUUUGAUAAGUUGGAUUUCAAAGGCAAUGGCUCAACCAUUGUACGCAUCCAAAACUGUCAGACUUGAGUGCAGGAGAGGAGAGUGGAAUUCCAUGUGUAGCGGUGAAAUGCGUAGAUAUAUGGAGGAACACCAGUGGCGAAGGCGGCUCUCUGGCCUGUAACUGACGCUGAGGCUCGAAAGCGUGGGGAGCGAACAGGAUUAGAUACCCUGGUAGUCCACGCCGUAAACGAUGAGUGCUAAGUGUUGGAGGGUUUCCACCCUUCAGUGCUGCAGCAAACGCAUUAAGCACUCCGCCUGGGGAGUACGACCGCAAGGUUGAAACUCAAAGGAAUUGACGGGGGCCCGCACAAGCGGUGGAGCAUGUGGUUUAAUUCGAAGCAACGCGAAGAACCUUACCAGGUCUUGACAUCCUUCUGACCGCACUAGAGAUAGUGUUUCUCUUCGGAGCAGAAGUGACAGGUGGUGCAUGGUUGUCGUCAGCUCGUGUCGUGAGAUGUUGGGUUAAGUCCCGCAACGAGCGCAACCCUUAUGUUUAGUUACCAUCAUUGAGUUGGGGACUCUAGACAGACUGCCGGUGACAAACCGGAGGAAGGUGGGGAUGACGUCAAAUCAUCAUGCCCCUUAUGACCUGGGCUACACACGUGCUACAAUGGGGAGUACAACGAGCAGCGAACUAGUGAUAGUAAGCGAAUCUCUGAAAGCUCCUCUCAGUUCGGAUUGUAGGCUGCAACUCGCCUACAUGAAGCCGGAAUCGCUAGUAAUCGCGGAUCAGCACGCCGCGGUGAAUACGUUCCCGGGCCUUGUACACACCGCCCGUCACACCACGAGAGUUUGUAACACCCGAAGUCGGUGAGGUAACCUUUUAGGAGCCAGCCGCCGAAGUGGAUGAN
rnacentral:rRNA from 1 species